GUGCAUAUGGAACAUUUUCGGGAUCUUGUUGCGUUUACAGUUUUGUUCAGUGUAAUUUCUUCAACGUCAUUAUGGUGUCAAGGGCUAUUAUACUAUUAAUAAGAUGCGCCCCCUGCUGGUGAAAGACAUUACUGCUUUGCUAGGGACGUGCCAUCGUAAACUUCUGUGUUUACAGUGGUUGUGAGCUAUCAAGCCAGAGUUCCACUGUGCUUUUUACUGUUGGCAUUUAUUUUCCUUCAGCUGUCAUUAUAUGAAACCUCCACAUCUGGAUCGUGGCGGUAGCAACAGGAAGAAGAUAGAAUAAUUAUCUUGGUCUUCUCGUGGCAAACUUGUCCAAUCAAAGAACAACAUGUUCUCAAUUUACAUCUAUUCUACAGCACGCAGUCGAGGCGGUUGCGCCUUCACUGCCCUUGCAGGAGGACUUUGUGUAUCACUGGAAGGCCAUCACACAUUACUACAUAGAGACAUAGGAUGACAAAGACCCAGUGACAGACACCAACAUCCCGUCUCAUCUGGAGCUGAUUGCUGGACAUCCUGACGCAGGAGGAGUCAGAGAGAGAGUCUGGAGAGACUGGGCCAUGCAUGGAGUACCUGCUGCACCACAAGAUCCUAGAGACCAUCUACACCCAGGGCAAGGCAGAUUGGUGUUUUGCCGCCAGCAGUGUCCUCCGGGAAUGAAGCAACAGGUCCUGAGUUUCUACACCAAGCUGCUAGGAUGCAUUCGCCAGCCUGUUCUACCCCACAUCAAUGUCCAUAGACCUGUACUGGUGAGAUCCCAGAAGUUCUCAUGUAACAUGUAGAUAUAUUUACCAGGGUUGGGUGAUAUUAUGAUAGCAUACAGUGGGUCCUCAACUAAAAGUUUUGAGAUUAUGCUGCGGGAUUUAGAGGUAAUUUAGUACGGUACCCUGUGUACCUGCUUCAUUGCUCCAGACCCUGGAGCAAGCGGGAGUUAGAGCACUAAUUAUGCUUUUGGGUCCUAAGGUGCUAAUAUAUCACUAACUGACAAUGAAUGGGCGAUAUAAACCAAAUAGAAACUGAUAAUUGUGCACGUCUUCAAAGUUGAAUUUCAAUUAACUGAAUGAUGAGGAUGAAGAAGGUGAUUGAAUUUAGAACAAUAAUGUAAGAAUUGCUAUUCCUCUGUCCUGCAUGUUUACACCCUUGUUUCUACUCGUCAAUAUUACUUACUAAAACUGUUGUUACACUAAGGUUUUUAUUCUAGGCGAAACGAAAAAGGUCAAUUAUAUUCCAUGAUAUUCUUAAGAUAUGUGUUGACUGAAUAUAAUCAAAGGAUGUCUGCUAAAUAAUCAAGUUGAUGGCGCAGUCAUAUAGCCCCGGCACCUACAUAAAGCUGAGUGACUCAGCUUUGGAUCAAAAUAAAUAAGUUCCAACAUUCUUUCUGAUACUCUUUAAUAAAGACAUUUUUUGGUUAUUUUCAUAGCCCAUUAUGGGUUGUUAGCAGGACAAUAGACUCUUUCCAACACCUCUCUGUAUUUUGAUACUUUGUGCAAGGCAAUUGAUCAGCAUUAAAAACUUUGAAAUCAUCUCCACAAUAUCACUAUGGUUUUAAACAAGCCAUAGAAAGUUGCUUGCAAUUUCAGUUUAGUCCACCAGAAAAGACAGAACAAAUAAUAUAACAAAUAUUGUGGUUAAACUCAAAUAAAUAUACUAAUUGGUUAAAACAAAACAUUGGCUGUACUAGAUUUUCCGUUCAUCCUGAAGGCCCUAAUCUCCUCACUUAAAUUAAUAGAGAUCCUGGUCAUGUUGCUACAGUAUGCUGUUACAGCAUAAUCAAAGUGAGGACAAAUCGGCGAUCUGCUGUAUACCGUAAUUGCUGGACUAUUAAGCGCACCUGAAAUAUAAACCGCACCCACUGAAUUAUUAAAAAAUAUGUAUUUUGUACAUAAAUAAGCCGCACAUGUCUAUAAGCCG